rnacentral:rRNA from 1 species
AUUGAACGCUGGCGGCAGGCCUAACACAUGCAAGUCGAGCGGAUGAGAAGAGCUUGCUCUUCGAUUCAGCGGCGGACGGGUGAGUAAUGCCUAGGAAUCUGCCUGGUAGUGGGGGACAACGUUUCGAAAGGAGCGCUAAUACCGCAUACGUCCUACGGGAGAAAGCAGGGGACCUUCGGGCCUUGCGCUAUCAGAUUAGCCUAGGUCGGAGUAGCUAGUUGGUGAGGUAAUGGCUCACCAACGCGACGAUCCGUAACUGGGCUGAGAGGAUGAUCAGUCACACUGGAACUGAGACACGGUCCAGACUCCUACGGGAGGCAGCAGUGGGGAAUAUUGGACAAUGGGCGAAAGCCUGAUCCAGCCAUGCCGCGUGUGUGAAGAAGGUCUUCGGAUUGUAAAGCACUUUAAGUUGGGAGGAAGGGCAGUAAGUUAAUACCUUGCUGUUUUGACGUUACCGACAGAAUAAGCACCGGCUAACUCUGUGCCAGCCGCCGCAGUAAUAC